GGGGAAUUUUGGACAAUGGGGGCAACCCUGAUCCAGCCAUUCCGCGUGAGUGAAGAAGGCCUUCGGGUUGUAAAGCUCUUUCGGCCGGGAAGAAAUCGCAUCUCCUAAUACGGGGUGUGGAUGACGGUACCGGAAGAAGAAGCACCGGCUAACUACGUGCCAGCAGCCGCGGUAAUACGUAGGGUGCGAGCGUUAAUCGGAAUUACUGGGCGUAAAGCGUGCGCAGGCGGCUCACUAAGACAGAUGUGAAAUCCCCGGGCUUAACCUGGGAACUGCGUUUGUGACUGGUGGGCUUGAGUGCGGCAGAGGGGGGUGGAAUUCCACGUGUAGCAGUGAAAUGCGUAGAGAUGUGGAGGAACACCGAUGGCGAAGGCAGCCCCCUGGGUCGACACUGACGCUCAUGCACGAAAGCGUGGGGAGCAAAC
rnacentral:rRNA from 1 species